AACUGCUGUAAUUUUCAGCCAUUUGCUCAACCUUCAUUAAGCUCUUGUUUGAUUCCCUUUAAAAUUUUAAUACAUUUUCUCUCUUUUUUCUUUUCAACCACAAAUUCUUUAAUAAAAUAAUAUUACACAUAAAUAAAUAAAAAUUCCUUAUUUUUUAAUCACAAAUCCUUCCAAAAAAUUACUAUUCCAAAUUACAUUUUACCCAAAUUUCUCAUUAUAAUGGUUGUCAAUCAAGGGCUAAAUUUUCCAUAUUGUCAUGGAUCUGGUCAUUUUUUAUGUGUAUUUGAGGAGCUUGAGAAAAUCCCAAGGCAUUAAGAUAGGACAAUUUUGCCACCGAACAAUAUAUAUCCAGAUAGCUGAUAGUCAUAUAUAUUGAAAGUAAUGCAAUUUCAAGAGAACUCAACACAGAAAUGACAUCUAAUUAUAAUAAUUUAGAUGGCUAGAAAUUGGUUUUGGGGAGAGUCGUGUACCAUGAACUCAAUAAUUUCCUUUAGUGUAGCAUCUCUGGAGCUGCAAGUUCCAACUGUCACUUAAAUACUGCAUAUGUUUACAAAGCCAUUUGAUGCAAUUUUUAUAUUGUAGAUCCUGCUGCAUGCCUGCAUAUGAUAAUUAUAAGAUCAAGCAUCAGAUUUUUGACAAAUCCAUUUGCGUGCGCCUUAAGUGCAUCUUGUGUGCAGACUCUUUACUAAAAAUCACCCACUAGACGUACUUUGUGCAGCUUGUAGAACACCAUGUGAAAGACCACCAAUAUUCGAAAAAUUUCUUGAUGCACAAAGCUAGUUCACAUUUGGAAUGUUGCGGUUCCUUGAACAUUGUGCAGCCCUUUGGAUGGUGGUUGUAGAUAUCACAAGAAAUAUUAUUUAAAUUCAAUAUCUAAUGCAUUUACAGUAAACAGAAAGUAGUGCAUGUUUGGUACAUGGUAUGGAAAAUUCAACAUAAAUUUUGUGCAAAAGAAAUUUACAAAUAUUAGAACCUUUUGGCCUGAUCUACAAUAUAGAUCAUGCAUAUUGAGUUGCAUAAAACUUGACAUUUGGUUGGGAAAACAAAGAUUAAAAUAAAAUUCAAGCUUUAUCUUAAAAAAAGGACCAUGACAUAAACAUGCUGUCGCACGCACAAAAAUAAUGCAUUAACUCC
rnacentral:lncRNA from 1 species